GGCCCCGUGGUGUAGUGGCAGCAUGUCGCCCUCCGGAGGCGAAGGUUCGCGAGUUCAAACCUCGCCGGGGUCG
rfam:Plasmodiophora brassicae isolate e3 genome assembly, contig: scaffold_60